rnacentral:rRNA from 1 species
CAGCCGCCGCGGGAAAACGUAGGGUGCAAGCGUUAAUCGGAAUUACUGGGCGUAAAGCGUGCGCAGGCGGUUUGUUAAGACAGAUGUGAAAUCCCCGGGCUCAACCUGGGAACUGCAUUUGUUACUGGCAAGCUAGAGUCUGGCAGAGGGGGGUGGAAUUCCGCGUGUAGCAGUGAAAUGCGUAGAUAUGCGGAGGAACACCGAUGGCGAAGGCAGCCCCCUGGGCCAACACUGACGCUCAUGCACGAAAGCGUGGGGAGCAAACAGGAUUAGAUACCCGAGUAGUCCCUGUCUCUUAUAC